GACGAACGCUGGCGGCGUGCUUAACACAUGCAAGUCGAACGGAAAGGCCCUGCUUUUGUGGGGUGCUCGAGUGGCGAACGGGUGCGUAACACGUGAGUAACCUGCCCUUGACUUUGGGAUAACUUCAGGUAACUGGGGCUACUACCGGAUCGGAGCUCCUGCUGCAUGGUGGGGGUUGGAAAGUUUCGGCGGUUGGGGAUGGACUCGCGGCUUAUCAGCUUGUUGGUGGGGUAGUGGCUUACCCAGGCUUUGACGGGUAGCCGGCCUGAGAGGGUGACCGGCCACAAUGGUACUGAGAGACGGCCCAGACUGCUACGGGAGGCAGCAGUGGGGAAUAUUGCACAAUGGGCGGAAGCCUGAUGCAGCAACGCCGCGUGCGGGAUGACGGCCUUCGGGGUGUAAACCGCUUUCGCCUGUGACGAAGCGGGAGUGACGGUAAUGGGUAAAGAAGCACCGGCUAACUACGUG
rnacentral:rRNA from 1 species